UACGAAGGGGACUAGCGUUGUUCGGAAUCACUGGGCGUAAGGCGCACGUAGGCGGAUAUUUAAGUCAGGGGUGAAAUCCCGGGGCUCAACCCCGGAACUGCCUUUGAUACUGGGUAUCUCGAGUCCGGAAGAGGUGAGUGGAGUUCCGAGUGUAGAGGUGAAAUUCGUAGAUAUUCGGAGGAACACCAGUGGCGAAGGCGGCUCACUGGUCCGGUACUGACGCUGAGGCACGAAAGCGUGGGGAUCAA
rnacentral:rRNA from 1 species